CCAUGGGGCUGGAUAUACAAACCUGUGAAUCUCCUGCAUGAAGAAGCAGAAGCAAAUGAUUAUGUGUCAGAGCUGAUUAGAGAGAGUGGAGGGGGAGGGUCUAGAACAAAGCCUCACAGAACACCUACAGUUGGGACCAUGAUAGUUGGAUUAUGAGCCAGCAAAGAAGACAGAAGUUAGACAGCUAGGAGAACCAAGGGGCAGUAGCAUGUGUGUCUCUGGAGGGCCCAGUUGAAGCAAGAUGAUAUGAAUUUGCAUGUUCACGGUUAAUAUGAUCGUGGGACUUCCUCCAAAGGUGUUGACCAGCAGAUUUCUUGAAGAUGAAGAUGAAGCCUGUCCAACCACUUUCAUAUACAGGCAUACUUCAGAGAUAUUGACGGUUCAGUUUCAGAUACCUGAAAAUGGCAAACAUUGCAGUAAAGUAAAGAAUAACAAUUAA
rnacentral:lncRNA from 1 species